rnacentral:tRNA from 1 species
GCCUGGGUGGCUCAGUCGGUUAAGCGUCUGACUUCAGCUCAGGUCAUGAUCUCACAGUUCGUGAGUUCGAGCCCCGCAUCAGGCU